ACCCAUGCUAGAAGAAAAGACGACUUAUUACCUCACUAAUGCUAUGGACGAUGGAGAGCACCCCGGAGCUAUAGAAACACUACAUAUGCAAGCCAGUGUGAAGAAGCAGAUAUUUACAAUCACGAGUUAAGAUGCGAAAGAGAGCCGCUUCUUCUCGCCGCCUGAGAUGCCGCGAAUUCUUCCUGGUACGCCAAUCAAUGUGUCUGCACAUCGCCGUAAGCCGAGCUGUAAAACAUUAGAGAAUGGGAUUGUUUUGAUAACCAUUUUGGCUCACAUGUGGAGACUUGCUCCAAGUCGACCUCAGCGGAAAUUCCGGAAUUUAAGCAAGCAGCGAGGCUCGCUUUUUAUCGCUCUAAAGGAAAGUCUAGCUCACAUAUAUGAUGAUAAUAUUCAUUGAUCAGUUGUUAGCUCAAGGAUUGCUCUACCGUGACGAUUCAUUGAAAAUAUCUCACCUCAUCCAAAAUCUGCUCAACUCUUUCUAGUCGCUGUCUCUUGGUGAAAUGCUUCUCCAUCCUAAGCAAGGCCUAAAACACAAAACACAAAAUGUAACAGUAUUGUACAUAGCACUAUCUUGGCUCAAGGUGAACACAUUAAAUUAACUGAGUACUAUAUCA